rnacentral:tRNA from 1 species
GCGAGGGUGGCGGAAUGGCAGACGCGACAGUUUGAGGGGCUGUUGACCGCAAGGUUGUGAGGGUUCAACUCCCUCCCCUCGCA